CCAGCCUCUCCUGGGAGCCUUUGAGAACUGCAGACAUGCAGACCUGCCCCAGACCUUCAGGAUUCCCCUCAGGUGAUUCCCAGGCACAGUCGAGUUUGGGACGCCCUGGAGGAGGGGGCUUGGGUUUCCGUCUCAGCUCUGCCACACGCAGGAGUCCCUGAGUGCCAGGACUGCAUAACCUGGGGAACUCAGAAGAAAGACUCAUGCCAGGAUCCCGCCAACGAUGAGACAAAGACAGAGAUUCACUUUGAAAAACGCUCCAGGUGGCUCUAAUGUGUCACAGAUUGAGAGCGAUUGGAAUAGAUCAUUUCUGAGGUUCCUUCCCACCCUGGGUGAGUCUGAGAGCCUUCCCUUCCUCUGCCCGGGAAAAGGAGUUAAAACAUCCUUUUGACUUUAAAGAGGCCCCAAAGCCUCAUGCAGCACUCAAGGCCCUGGAGUGAGGAGGGGCUGGCCUGCACAGCUGGCCCUUCAGAUGAAGCUCUCCAGUGUCCCUUAGGACUGGCCCAAGAGUCAGCAGACUGCAAACACCACCGAGAGUGCCAAGGAGAAAGUUCCAGACAAGAUCUGGAUCCCAGGAACAUCCUGGCUGUUGCUGUAUAUAUCCACACCAAUAGACACUGAGCUGGGGUGCAGAUCAGAACUGCUCUGGAUUGGUUGCAGGCAUUUUCUUUACACCUGUGGUUCAAGCCCACAACCAUCUGCUGAGCCCCUGCCACGUACUAGUUACAGCGGCUGCCAGAGAAGCUCUGGGAAGUUCUGGGAACGUUAAUUUAACCACAUGGUGCAGGUGGUGCCCUCUGUAAUAACUGGGCCUAGGAAAGGAGUCUGCCCCCGACCUUCCACACCACAAAGCAAGACCCUGCUUUAGUCUGCAUUGCUUCCGCCUUCUGGCUGGUUUUCACUGGAGCAGCGUUGUGCCUAUCAACCAUUACCCAGCUCUCACUCAACAACUCUGAACACUUAUUGUGGAACUGACUUUGCUCUGUCCGGCGCUGCAUUUUCUAAGACUGGCUGUUACCUGUGUGAAAGGGACGUCAGGCAUUCUUGUUGGAGAGCGAGUCCCGGGAGAACAGCUUCCCUGAGUGGCUGGUCCAUGCUGAAGGGGCAUAGCGGGCGCCGUGGGGGGGCUACAGCGGCCAGUCCCUGGUGCCACCGUCCUCCACACAGCGCCCUGCACCUGCAGACUUGGCAGAAGCUCCUGCUCCAUUUCUUGCUGGGCUGGGAUGAUUCAGGAUCCCCCACCGUCCAACAGAGUUGGCUCCUGAGGGGGAACAGCGCUGAAGGAGAGCUUCUCAUUUCCCCCUUGACUCAGCCUGCGGACUUUGCUGGAAUAAAAGGAGGUUGGCAUUUAUGUGCUGUGAUUUCAGGGACACCAGAAAGGCCUUUCCUUUGCUCCCCUCACUGCCCCACUCCCACCCAAAAAAAACCCCCAGAAAACUCUCUCCUCUACGUUGCCUGCUGAAAUUCAACUAAUGGGAUUUUGUUCUUUUA